GCCUAGUCUGGGCGCGCGCAUAACGUACAUUGGCGCAUGCUUGCGUCAUAUUGUGCCCGCCAUAGAGAGAGAGAGAGAGAGCAGACCACAGCCCCCGGCAUUAUGACUAGCCCUGGUCUUUGUCUACCUACCGGUCCUCUACUAUCCGAAUAGCGCUGGUACUGCCGUUUAAAGUUCUAUCACCUGGGACAUGCUCAAAACCAUGUAAACGCCUGCAUGACAUCGAUUUAGACCAGCUGAAGGACCAACCAGACAGACAAUCAGCAGAAAACAACAGUGACAGCACCGUCAACAAAAAUGGAAGGGAUCUUUUGCAGCUCUGUAGAAGCCUGGGUCUGUACUUUGUCAAUGGUAGGUUACGGGGGGACUCUUUGGGGAGAUUCACCUACUGCUCACCUCUUGGCCACAGCACAGUAGACUAUAUGAUCACAGACAUUGACCCUUUCUCUCUCAGCUCAUUCACUGUCAAGCCACUAACACCUCUGUCUAAUCACAGCCAAAUUACAUUGUUCCUCAAAAGAACAGACAUGGAAACAACCACACAUUCACAGCCCAGUAAGCUGUACAACAUCAUAAAUUCAUACAGAUGGGCCCAAAACAGCACAGAAGAAUACCAGAAAGCAACCUGGAACCAAAAUAUCCAAACACUCUUAGAUAACUUUCUGGAUACCACAUUCACUCACAGUAAAGAAGGCAUCAAUCUAGCAGUACGAAACAUCAACUAUAUAUUCAGGCAAACGGCAAAAGAAGCACAAUUGAAAUGGUUAAAAAACUAAACAAAAAAGAUCACAUAUGACAACUGGUUUGAUGCAGAUUGUAAAAUUAUAAGGAAAAAACUUAGAACACUAUCCAACCAAAAGCACAGAGACCCACAUAAUGGUGAAUUACUCCUUCAUUACUGUGAGACUUUAAAACUCUAUAAACGUACACUCAGAACCAAAAAAGCAAAGUACAACAGCAAGCAGCUGACACUAAUUGAGGAGUCCAUAAACACAAACAACUUCUGGCAAAAUUGGAAAAAACUAAAAAAAAUCUAAACAAGAGGAAUUAGCGAUACAAAAUGGUGACAUAUGGACAACCCAUUUUACAACACUCUACAACACCGUUCAAAUUGACACAAACGCAGAACAACGCCAAAUUCAUGAGAAGUUGAAUGGAUUAGAAAAAGCUAUAAAGGACAAUCAAAAUCCAUUGGACUGCCCAAUUACUGACCAGGAUUUAAAAAAGCAUGCGGACCUGAUGGCAUCCUAAAUGAGAUGCUCAAACUCACUAGUGCAAAAUUUCAAUUGGCUAUAUUAAAACUGUUUAAUUUGAUUCUGAGUGAAGGUUAUUUCCCUGACAUCUGGAUUCAAGGAUUCAUAACCCCAAUCUUUAACCUGUUAGGGGUAGGGGGCAGUAUUGACACGGCCGGAUAAAAAAAGUACCCGAUUUAAUCUGGUUACUACUCCUGCCCAGUAACUAGAAUAUGCAUAUAAUUAUUGGCUUUGGAUAGAAAAC
rnacentral:lncRNA from 1 species